rnacentral:rRNA from 1 species
UACGUAGGGGGCAAGCGUUGUCCGGAUUUAUUGGGCGUAAAGAGCUCGUAGGCGGCUCGGUAAGUCGGAUGUGAAACCUCCAGGCUCAACCUGGAGACGCCAUCUGAUACUGCCGUGGCUUGAGUCCGGUAGAGGAGCAGGGAAUUCCUGGUGUAGCGGUGAAAUGCGCAGAUAUCGGGAGGAACACCAGUGGCGCAAGCGGCUAACUGGCCGAGACCUGACGCUGAGACGCGACGGCGUGGGGAGCAAACCGG